rnacentral:rRNA from 1 species
AGCAGUAGCCACGGUAAUACGUAGGUGGCAAGCGUUGUCCGGAAUUAUUGGGCGUAAAGGGCUCGCAGGCGGUUUCUUAAGUCUGAUGUGAAAGCCCCCGGCUCAACCGGGGAGGGUCAUUGGAAACUGGGAAACUUGAGUGCAGAAGAGGAGAGUGGAAUUCCGCGUGUAGCGGUGAAAUGCGUAGAGAUGUGGAGGAACACCAGUGGCGAAGGCGACUCUCUGGUCUGUAACUGACGCUGGGGAGCGAAAGCGUGGGGAGCGAACAGGAUUAGAUACCCGCGUAGUCCCUGUCUCUUAUAC